rnacentral:rRNA from 1 species
GACGUAGGGCGCGAGCGUUGUCCGGAUUUAUUGGGCGUAAAGAGCUCGUAGGCGGCUUGUCGCGUCGACUGUGAAAUCCCCGGGCUCAACCCGGGAACUGCGUCCGAUACUGGCAGGCUUGAAUCCGGGAGAGGGAUGCGGAAUUCCAGGUGUAGCGGUGAAAUGCGUAGAUAUCUGGAGGAAUACCGGUGGCGAAGGCGGCAUCCUGGACCGGCAUUGACGCUGAGGAGCGAAAGCUAGGGGAGCAACG